GCCUUUUCCGCCAUGUUGGGCUCUGCCCGCCUCUGCCGCCGGCCCUCAGGCGGGUCUGGUGGGGGAAAGGUCCCGCCGGGCGUUUGAAGAGCCGGAACUUGGCAGCCGGAGAGGCAGGGACAAACCUGUGGGGAAAGCUGCGUUGUCUAGAGAUGUUCCCGUGUGCUUAGCGCGGGUGAGGGGCGGCUCGAUUUCUGGGGCCAUUUCUGAGCCCCUGAGCUCAGGAGGGACAUGGAAGCUCUAGAGAAGUCCAGAGAAGGGCAACAGAGCUGGUGAAGCGGCUGGAGCAGGAGUCUGAUGAGGAACGGCUGAGGGUGUUUUGCCUGGAGAAAAGGAAGCUCAGAGAGAACCUUAUCGCUCUCUACAAGUCCCUGAAAGGAAGCUGUAGCUGGGUGGGGGUCGGCCCCUUCUCCCAGGCAGCUUUAGAGGACAUGGCCUCGAGCUGCAGCAGGGAGGUUGAGUCUGGACAUCAGGAGGAAUUUCUUCAUUGGAAGGGUGAUUAGACUUUGGAACAGAAGCCACUAUUCCUGGAGGUGUUUAAAGACUGGACAUAGCACUUAGUGCUAUGGUCUGGUUUACCCGGUGUUAGGUCAUGGUUUGGAUUCGAUGAUCUCACACGUCUUUUCCAACCUAAUUGAUUUUGUGAUUAUGGACAGCCCUUAAUUCUAGUAUAGUAAUGAGUAAGUAAUGUCUCCUAUGUCCUGAUUCCAGCUGGGGCAGUGUUGAUUUUUGCAGGUGCCAGGAGGGAGGUUCUGUCCCACCUCACAUCUGGUCAUUGCCAGGAGCAGGAGGAAAAGUGGUCCCUUCCUCUGGAGAAGGGAGCUGGCUGGUAGUGUGUAUUGGGAGCGGGGGCAGGUUUCUUUAUCUCUUUUAUUUUUCCAGUAUAUUGUUGUGCCUUCAAUUCUCAACCCCAUCCUAACACAGCAGGAAGGAUGAGGGGAAGGGGGAGUGAGAGAGGGCAGUGGUGUGGUUUUGGAAAGUCUCACUGAGAGUCCUGAACUGGGAAGUAAAAUUCCUAAACCACAACACCUGGGCAGAGCCUGAAGAGGUCUGCUUUGAGGUACUGCCAACAUCCCCCGGUUUCCACUGAAUUUCUCUGCAGAAGGUUUAGUUCACAUGAGCUGUUUUGCUGUUCUUUUGAGUUAAUUCCUUGGAUUAAAGAAUAAUAUUAAGACCGUGUUACAUGCUAAGAGGAUAUGCCAGGAGAGGGAAAACAGAAGAGGUGAAAUUUAGUCCACAGAAGUGCUUUACUUUGUUGGUGGCUCCAAGCCCCUGUUGGUGAGUGGGUCAUGGAAAUACUUUGUUAGAUUCACUGAAGCCUGCGGGUGCUGCGCUUUUUAAUACGUUAAUUAGAAAUAACGUGUGUAAAUCCAAGUGCUAUCUCCUUUUGUGUAUGUGUUAAGUUUCACCACCACUUAGACACACUGUCUCCUGUUCCCACAUGGAGCGGGACCUGUAAACUUCCCCUGACCCCGUGAUUUCUGGAGACCUGAGCUGUUGAUGCAGAAAUGCACACAGUUUAUUUUAACCUUCUACUUGCAGCUGCAAAUAUUUCCUUCUUGGCAGUGCACAGCCUGAGACAAGAGCCAUAAAUAUUUGCUGUGCCUAUAUACACCAAGAUGUAAGCCAGUAUUGAGUUUUUUCACUUUGAACAGUGAGAAGAUGGCACUUUGGGAAGUUAAGCCAACUACUCUUGCUGCAUGCAUGCCUGAAUUGAUUACAUUGUUCUGCGGAGCUGAGAGAUUCUGCUUCCUGUUGGUCUGUACCUGUGUGAAGCAGGGGUUCACGGGAUUAGAAUGAGUCAGAAAUUAAAGUAGGAGCCCUCCCUCAAAGUCUGGACAUCCCCUUGGAAACCUUUAGAUCCCACUCCCAGCUCAAGUGAUUUGUGAGGGCAAGUGCUCCAGCUAAGAGCUUGCAGCUGGACGCUGCCGUCGCUAAGAUCAAGCUCUCGUCAGGCUGAGAUUGUCUGGGCUAUUUUCAUGAGAUGAAAGAAAUCUUAAUUAAGUGUUCAUAUCUUUGUCAGCCAGACUCGGAAUAAAAAUUGAUGCGAUUCCCUUGAGCUUCGCUGCUUGUUAUACUCUGCAAACACUGCUUGUUAUACUCGGCAACAAAGAUACUGGGAAGAAUAAUGUGAAUCUCAUUUAACAUCACAAAGAAGCUUUCCACAGCAGGAUAGGCUGAUGUGGAACUAUUGAAUUUGCAUAAAAAACCUCUCCACUUUCUCCUCCCUAAAAAGAAAAAAAAAGAAAAAAAAAAAAGGAAAAGAAAGAUUUAAAGAGUAUUUUGAGAAUGAUUGCAUUGUUCCUUGUACUUAAGGGAAGAGGUAAUAGGUUAAUGAUUUUAGUCCUACCCUCUGAAAGAUUCCAGUUCUUUCAUGCCACAAGCAGCCCAGAUGACCUCAGGCAAGAGACUUCCUUCUCGCUGAGCCUUAAUUCUCUCCUUUUUGCGAGUUCAAAGAGGAUUUCUGAGGCUAAAUAUAUUAAAAACUCUGGGCUCAGCUUACAGUCAUGACAUGCCGAGCAAAAUCUCAGAGUCAGCGAGUACUAGGGAUAAAACUUCCUCACCAGCAGACCACGGCAUGCAGGACCAAAGCAUCCACAGCAGUAGGAGCAGGAAGCCGUACACAGAUCUGCAAGUCAGAAGCAGCUGCAAGAGAAUGAUUGGGAUUCCUUUACCAGCAUGACAUUUUAACUCCUUCCCUCUCAGCAGGUUGGCUCCUUGGCUGGAUUUGCAGGUUUCCAGGAGGAGCACUGUGGCAGGAGCCUGUUGCUGCCAGAAGAGCUCUGUAAAGCCGUUUAUCGCAAAUCCCGGCAACGUGCACCGCGCAGAACCACCACCAAAGGAAAAUUGUGUGCACUAAGAGAAACCAAAGUUUGAUAGAAAAUAAUGUUUACCAAAUUUCUGAUACUCUCUUGGUUGGAUGACACAAUUACUCUUACAGUGCCCUUUUCCCCAGAAGGCACAGAGUUGUUUCUGAGAUCAAUGCGUUACAGUGUCUGUUCAGUCAGUACAGGAGGAUCUUUCCUUCACAGGAGCACCUGCAGGGCUGAAUGUCAGGGAUGGCACAUGCUGGAAAGUUCUUUUUACCUUGAAAAGAUCCCUGGGUCUCAUUCAGUACAAUCAAAGAAGGACAAGGUUUCCUAUAUCUGAUUUUUGUGGCCCCUGACUUAACCUCUCUCACAACACCCAGCUACCCUUAGAAAAUACUCAGUGCUACAGAGUAGGCCCAUGUUGGAAGCAUAGUAAAGAAAUUACUUCCUGCCAGGCAAUUAGCAUGUCUACCUGCUAGUCAGCUUGUGCACAUGUUGGCUGUGCCACCAAUCUCCACAUUGGGUGGGACCUUGAUAAUUAUAGACAAUUACAGUGAUCAGUUAUGGAUAAUUAUGGAACAGCAGGCCAAAUUCCUCUCUAUGGUUGCCUGUCUUUUACCCUGGCAGUGUUACAUCAUGGUUUGAGUGUGAAGCUUCAGCCUCUACGUCUGCAUCCUGCUGUCUGCCUGCAAGUGAACACAACUUCGUAGGUCAGGAGUUUGUCAGUUACGUAAUCAGCCACAUCUUACUGCCUAUGGAUUCAUCAUGUAUGGCUAUGGGUUAUUAGGGAUAUAGCCAAUCUUCCACCUUCAAGGGCUGCCCACAAGAAGGAGCAUCAUUAGAAAAAUAGAGCAGACUGUGUUUAAGAGAAAGUGGAAACUUGAAGCCUUGUAUUUCGUCAUUUACAGCUGCUGCUGUAACAAUUAAUUGCUUGCCCCUAACCAGAUCAUAGAUGUUUGCCAGCCACACUUCAUCCCGCCUCCCACGCUGUGGCUGCACCAGAGGCUUGAUUUCCAGCCUCUGGGCCAUUUGCAGGCAUGUGGAGAGCUUUUGGCUGUCCCUAAGGCAAGUGCCCCACAAGCAGCUAAUAAAUUGCUUUGGGAAAAGGCAGGGGGUGCCAGCUGGACGUGGCCCAUGAACUGGCAAUUAGACCAGAGAGAACUGCUCUCGAUUUACUCUUCUAAGGGAUAACAUUCAGUUGUAGCUCAAGCAAUGCUUCAGCAUGUUGGGGGGACGUUGAAUCUUCUGUCUGAGGAUUUUCAAUAGUCUCCAGCUAGCAAAGAUCAGAGACUGGGAGAAUGCACACAUCCAGCACACCCAUUUAACCCUCCUGAAGCCAGGAGCAGCAGAGCAGGCUGAUAAUCUGCACAGCCUCUGUCCUAAAAGCACAGAAACCAGGGAUUCACCUGAACUUGGGGUGAUGAAGGGGAGUUUCUUAAGGAACUCAAAGCUUUGUCUGAUUUUCAAAGCAUCUGCAGAGACCAUUUAUUAAACAGUGGGAUGAUUUUUCACUGGGAAGUGAAGGAAUGGAAGUUGACAGAGUUGCUUAGAGCUUUGUGUUCUGAUUUGGUUUUUGUAAAUUCAGUUCUGUCUGAAGAACACUUCUGCAUCCCUGGGAGCCUGUGCAGCAGCACUGCUGGGGGACAGGAAGGCUCCAGGCACUGCCAUAUCAAACAAGAAACAACCAACAUACCCUUUCCUAACUGCUGACAAAAUAGAUUAAUCACACAAGCAUGCUGUACAUUGCUACCUAGUUUACCCCAAAAGGUGCUUUUCAAUUAUUUAGGAAAGCCUAAUGAUCAAGAAUAUUUAGUUGUAGAAUUGUAUUCUUUUUUGCCUACAUAAGAGUGUGGUAUUAAAUAAUGUUCUGCUAUAAAGUAUUGAGCCCAUCUCUGUAUUACUGUGAUGACUUCCCAGAGGUGAAACAGUGAAGCCAGAAGGAAAAUGCAGGCCUCAGACACCACUGAAGUCAGGAAGAGGGGUACUAAAGAAUUUGACAGAAAAACAGUAAUAUAAUUUGCUGCUGCUUGUCAUCAGCACCUCAGUCAGCUUGUCAGUGUUAUAGGUCUGGAUUGUUCUUUCAUCCCAACAACAAAAGAAUGUCACUAGGAUUUCCUAAACAUUGAAGAGUUCAGAUGAAGGGAAUCUCUUAAAAAAAUUUAUAGUACCUUAAAAAAGCUUGAAAAUUGAAUGGUUCUAGGAAAAAAUACAUGCUCUUACUCACACACAUACAAAUUAAAUAAAACAGCUCAUGAGUGUUGGGCUUUGGACAAAAGUUUUAAUUUUUUAUUAUAAAAACAGUGACAUUUGAAAUACUGAAAAAUGUUGAAAUAAAGCAUAAUUACAAAGACAUCAAAACUUUUAUAAGCAGAUAUAGAGAAAAAAGCAGAAGAACUCUGUAGUUCACCAAUCUUGUGAGCUUCUCUUUUUCUCUUUUUUUUCUUUCUUUCUGUUUUGGAUGACAGAGGUUAUCUUCAAUGCUAAGCAAAGGCCAUGGGCAACAUCCUGGCCCCAAUGAGGUCAAUGAAUGUUUUCCAUUGGCUUCAGAGAUAGCAGAACUUUGUUCAUUACCCACAUACUCAUUACCACAUCUUCUAAAUCCUUGAACUUGCAGUACCUGUUCCUCCAGCGAGGCCAUGUAUUUUCUUGUUGUGCAUCUAUUCCAAACCAGCUACUUUCCCGAUAAAAGCUCUUUGGUCUGUUCAGUCCAUUCAUGAACUGCCAAUAUUUCGCCUACACUGAGACACAAACAUCAAGAUGUGCAGAUCCUAGACAGUGGGCUGCUAAGUGGCAUCAGUUAAAAUUACCCCUCCCCUGCCUUCUGAAACAACCCUACUGUGCUAAAUUUCAGGGCACACAGUACAGCUAACUACCCCAAAAAUCACAGCACAAGAGAACUGCCCUUCAACAUAUAGUAGCUAAACUCUAAACACAAAUACAUUGCUGCAGUUAAUUGCUUCUUUGAAGGGUACAGCUGAUCUGACAGCUAUGCAACAGAUGAAGGCCAUCAGGGAAAAGCGUUGAGCUGCAAGUAAAGCUUAGACAAGGUGGGAUCAGGGAUCAGGGACGCAAUGGCAGAAGCACAGAGCUCUCCUCUGGCUCCAUGAUGCAAACAGGAGUGCAGCUGUGGCAGUGUAAAGCCAUGGACAUCCCUGGUUAUUCACUGUGCUAGUGAGGAGUUUCACAGCAUCAGCCCAAAGCCCACAAACGUGCACACAUUGAACAUGCAUUAGUAACCGUCCCCCACCAUCUCCAAAGGCACAGAGUCAGAUGCAGAUGGAGAUUUCAGAAAAACGAUCUCAUCCUUCGAGGCAGCACUUCUGGGAUGGGUCAGGCACAGUCUCAGGACUGUCUACCAGCUACAGAAGACAUCCCCAGCUACCACCAAAGCUGCAGCUCCUCUGGGGAUAAAGGGCUUCUGCUUUUAGUGGUGUCAGUUCAGCUUUGUUUAUAAACCACAGUAUUCUGUUGUAACACAUUCUCCUCCAUACUAUGAGCCCUCUGACAAGGAGAAAUACCCUUCAAUAAAUACUAAACUGACUUAAAAACUUAAUUCACAAAUUUUGUUUCUAUUAGAAUAUUCAAGUGACAAAAUGAUAAAAAACUUCCAAACAUCAGAUUAAGAAGAAUUAUUUUUAAAAGUUACCUCAGUCUACUCUAAGUACAAAUGCAACAUGCUUUGGACAUAUAGACUUUAAACUUUAGCCCACCAUGAAAUCCAGGGGGAAAAAUGGAUUUAGACCAUCUUUCCAAAAACUUAAAAACCUCCUGUAGAAUAUUUCUUGAGGAGCAAACUAGUCUGAUGUGGGGUAAAAAGUAUAAAUAUGGCAAGGUAAGAGGCAAAAGUCUGACAAUAGCAGCCACCAAGGAUUUAAGAGUUAGGAGGCUGGAGAAUGAUCCAUGUAAUUCUCCCUUUGUUUCUGAACAGUGCUUCCUUCUGUACAUUACUAGCCUGUCGAUGAGCACCUCUGCAAAAAUGCCAGAGGAGACCAGACUAGCUGGUGGAUCUUCCAUGGGACCAAAGUACAAUCACAGCCAGGUACAGCCCGACUAUUUCUACAAUGGCAUAGAACACUACAAGUUGACAAACAACGUGACAGCAAAAAACUGAAAGGACUUAAUGCAACCAGUCAAACCCCAUUCAACAGCUUUUGAUCAAGGGCAGCAGCUUGCAAUGAACAGCCACUCUGUUUCCAAACCACCUCCUGUGCACAGCCUGCUCCCUCUCUCUGCUCUCACACACUCACGCUCUCUGGCUCACUGCUCCUCUUCUCUUCCUCUCGCUGGGAGGUCUCCUGGAGCCUCUCUUUGCCUGGGGCUCAGCGGCAUCGCAGAAAGCAGAAUCCUUGCAGCUCCUUGGCAUGUCUGCCCCAUCAGGUUAGCACUCUGGCAGCGACACAGCUCCCUCAAGUCUCUUUCUUCAUUUUCUUCCUCUUCCUCCUCUCCUUUUUUGCAGGUACACCUGCCAUACAAAUAGCAGAGACAAUGCAAUUGCAUCCCUGAGAACUGGUGGCUUUUGCCUGAUGAAGUGGAUUUAAGGGUUCUUAGAUGUGUUUUACAAGGGCCACCUACUUUCAAGGUGAACAGAAGAGCAGCAAGAAAUACUGAGAUAAAAGUACUGUCAUUGUGUAGUGACACUGAAGAGUAAGAUGUGCCCAGUGACUGCUAAAUGACUAGAGUCCACAGAAACACUGGAGGUAGCAGAAGGAGUGUGAUGAGCAUCUUUGUAGAUCUGGCUUUAUAAGUAAUUUCAUUUUUUAAGUCCAAAAAGGAUAUAAAAAGGUAUGGCAGCACUGUGGGAACUGAUAGGAUGUCCUAAUGAUUAUGUGGACUGGGGUCAGUCAGGUAGUUAAAAUGCGAACAUCAGGAGAUCUGGGAGCAAAAUCAUCUCAAGGAUCAUGAGAGACCACAGUGGGUGUGAGGGGAAGACAAAUGAUUUAAAAAAAAAGCAGCUGUACGUGUCCAGAAAAAUGCAUUCUGUGACAAGUGAAUGAAAUACAAUUUGGACAUUUCAGGCAUUCGCCCCACAAUUUCUCAUUUCACUGAGCACCAGUCACAGGCAAGCACUGGUCCAAAAGCCAGCCAACAUUGUUCCUGUGCACUUCCCAUCCCAAAUGAACUGACAUUCUCCACAGCCUUCUCUGUUGUACUCUGAGACAUUUUUAUCUCAAUAAGCUUUUUAGUGGUAUAACAGUGGCCUUGUUUUAUCUUCACUGACUUUUGGGAACCACCUUUUCAUUACUGUUGAUAUCUCUGGGUGGACCUUCAGCUACAGAUGAAACAGGCCAAUUGUACACUAAAUUUGGAGUGCAUCUGGUUUUAAUCAUGGAUUAAAUGGAAAUCAUGGAAAAAAUGUUUAGGCAGAGGCAUUCCAAGUUUAGUGCACAAAAUUCUGUACUGCAAAAUCAAAGUGUUUUGAAAAUAUGUUAGGGAAUACCAUGUUGCAAAACUCCACUGUUCACUGUGCUCAUAACUUCUUUUUAUGUGAAGACAGGGAGAAAAGAGAAGAGAAAGGCAGAAGACAGAGAGGAAGAAAAGUCUUCCUUAGGUCAUCCUAACAGAGAGGAGUUCCCCUCUGCUAAUGGAAAACCAAACACUGCUCUUGGAAUACAAAGUACUCACAUGU